CAGAUGACGACCGGCGCACGGGUGCGUAACGCGUAUAGAACCUACCUUUUACAGAGGGAUAGCCUUUAGAAAUGAAGAUUAAUACCUUAUAGUAUUUUAGAUUAGCAUUAAUUUAGAAUUAAAGAUUUAUCGGUAAAAGAUGGCUAUGCGUUCUAUUAGCUAGAUGGAGUGGUAACGGCACCCCAUGGCUACGAUAGAUAGGGGCCCUGAGAGGGGGAUCCCCCACACUGGUACUGAGACACGGACCAGACUCCUACGGGAGGCAGCAGUGAGGAAUAUUGGACAAUGGAGGCAACUCUGAUCCAGCCAUGCCGCGUGCAGGAUGACUGCCCUAUGGGUUGUAAACUGCUUUUAUACAGGAAGAAACACCCCUUCGUGAGGGAGCUUGACGGUACUGUAAGAAUAAGGAUCGGCUAACUCCGUGCCAGCAGCCGCGGUAAUACGGAGGAUCCAAGCGUUAUCCGGAAUCAUUGGGUUUAAAGGGUCCGUAGGUGGAUAAUUAAGUCAGAGGUGAAAUCCUGCAGCUCAACUGUAGAAUUGCCUUUGAAACUGGUUAUCUUGAAUCAUUAUGAAGUAGUUAGAAUAUGUAGUGUAGCGGUGAAAUGCAUAGAUAUUACAUAGAAUACCAAUUGCGAAGGCAGAUUACUAAU
rnacentral:rRNA from 1 species